GCCUUGGAGGGCUGGUCUACCUGCUGACCCCACUUGGCAGACCAGCUCUGCUAAAAAAAAAUAGCACUCGAAACACUCGAAACGUUUUGAGUGUUUCAUCAAAACAGGAAAAUCCAUUUUGUGCACACCUGUACUUAGUGGUAACAUUUCCACAUUUCGUAUUUUACAUCCCAAGUCACACCACCAGCCAUCAUCACAUCCCAAAUCCAGGAGACAUCCAGGCAGACAGUUUGCUGUUCUUCCGCAGUCUCCUCAUCAUGCAUCUAGUCCUCUUUGAGGAGUUCUUAACUUGAGUCAGAGCUUACAAGAAGCUGUUUUCGGUGUCACAUUUACCUCAGCUCUGGGACACAAGAGGCAAUAGGAAAGGGGUACUUUUGAACUGGUGCAAAGUUCUUUCCCCAGGCCAUCAGCUACCACUUCACUGCUUCUGGAGGCAGAUAUAAGAACUUCCAAGACAGAUGGCCUGACUUUCAGACAGACUGGCAUCCCUAACUCAGAAAUUACACACCACCUGUGGGUGCCUGCCUUCUAUCCUCACAGAGUUCUGGCAUAUUUGAUGGUCCGUAUAUGCUGAUGGUCCACAACACAGCCUACUGAGGUAUUCGGAGGCAAGCCAAGGACAGCAUGUCAAUCUUCAGAUUGAAUUUCCUGCCUGGUGUUAGUUUGGUCCAUAGUUUUAACAUUACUAAGAAGAACACAGACUUUUGUACACUCGUCUGAAAUAACACGCAAGUGCCAGCCAUUGCUGCGGUUCAAAUGGCAACGAAAACAUUCUGGCGAGUCCUCUGCUCCACAGGAUGAUUGCCUCAUGCAUGAGCCAUGACAUGAGCUCAGGAACAACAAACAAGGUAAAUGAGGUAAGGGAGAUCAUUCUUCACAGCAGCAGAUUCCCAGAGAAUAGGUAGGAUCAAAAAAUAAGACACUUGUUGACAAAAUGCCCAUGAAUUAACGCCAUCCAAACUUGGUAGAUUACAAGGCCAGGAUUAUCCAUCACUCAAGCAUCUUGUGAUGGAGACUUUCCAUGGGUAACAGGGCUGGAUUGAUCAUUAGGAUAAGCAUGAUACAGAGUCACACUCCAACCAAGGGGAGCCCUGGAAUAGUAUACAUAUCAAACUAACUUACACUAAAUUAGACCAUUGGUCUAUCUAGCCCAGCAGUAGUUCUGAAUGGCAGUAGUUCUCCAAAGCCUGAAGCAAGGAUCUCUCUCAGCUCUGCUAUCUGUAAUCCUUUUACUGAAAUUGCUGGGGUACUUUAUGUGUGCAAGACAUAUGCUCUGCUGCUGAACUGUGGCCUACCUAGCGGCGAACUUUUAUACAUUUUAAGUGUUUAAUUCUUGGUUUGUUUUAUGCUGUACACUGCCUGGAGACUUCGGUGUUGAGCGGUAUGCAAAUUUGCUAAAUAAUAAAUAAAAAUAUAAGCAUUG